rnacentral:rRNA from 1 species
GACAGAGGAUGCAAGCGUUAUCCGGAAUGAUUGGGCGUAAAGCGUCUGUAGGUGGCUUUUUAAGUCCGCCGUCAAAUCCCAGGGCUCAACCCUGGACAGGCGGUGGAAACUACCAAGCUGGAGUACGGUAGGGGCAGAGGGAAUUUCCGGUGGAGCGGUGAAAUGCGCAGAUAUCAGGAGGAACACCGGUGGCGAAGGCGGGUCUCUGGGCAGUAACUGACGCUGAGGAGCGAAAGCGUGGGGAGCGAACGGG